AAUGCAGGAGACAUAAGAGAUGCAAGUUCGAUCCCUGGGUUGGGAGGAUCCCCUGGAGGAAGAAAUGGCAACCCACUCCAGUGUUAAUGCCUGGAGAAUCCCAUGGACAGAGGAGUGACGUAGCACACCACCCAUAAAGUAAUUAAAAGCAGAAGUCAUGGAUCCAAAGACCACAUCACCAGGGAUUGGCCAGCUCUCUCUCCAGCAUUGACUAAAAACAGGAAAUUACAGUUGUACCUAAAUGGAACUAAUAAAACCAGAACCUUCUAUGACUUUAUAGCCACUUGGAAAAAGCAGCUACAACCAAAUAACCCAUCUGGAGCUGUGUUCUGUUACUAAAUGAGUGACUCCCCUGGAGCCAGAACAAGAAUAUCAAAGUCCAUCAACAGAAAACAAGGGGACUUUUUAUAUACUUGAACCUAGAAACGUGUUAAGUGAGAUAAUAAAAUUUUUUGUA